rnacentral:rRNA from 1 species
GGUUAAGCGACUAAGCGUACACGGUGGAUGCCCUGGCAGUCAGAGGCGAUGAAGGACGUGCUAAUCUGCGAAAAGCGUCGGUAAGGUGAUAUGAACCGUUAUAACCGGCGAUGUCCGAAUGGGGAAACCCAGUGCAAUUCGUUGCACUAUCGUUAACUGAAUACAUAGGUUAACGAGGCGAACCGGGGGAACUGAAACAUCUAAGUACCCCGAGGAAAAGAAAUCAACCGAGAUUCCCCCAGUAGCGGCGAGCGAACGGGGAGCAGCCCAGAGUCUGAAUCAGCUUGUGUGUUAGUGGAACGGUCUGGAAAGUCCGACGGUACAGGGUGAUAGUCCCGUACACCAAAAUGCACAGGUUGUGAACUCGAAGAGUAGGGCGGGACACGUGGUAUCCUGUCUGAAUAUGGGGGGACCAUCCUCCAAGGCUAAAUACUCCUGACUGACCGAUAGUGAACCAGUACCGUGAGGGAAAGGCGAAAAGAACCCCGGCGAGGGGAGUGAAAAAGAACCUGAAACCGUGUACGUACAAGCAGUGGGAGCACCUUCGGGUGUGACUGCGUACCUUUUGUAUAAUGGGUCAGCGACUUAUAUUCUGUAGCAAGGUUAACCGUAUAGGGGAGCCGCAGGGAAACCGAGUCUUAACUGGGCGUUAAGUUGCAGGGUAUAGACCCGAAACCCGGUGAUCUAGCCAUGGGCAGGUUGAAGGUUGGGUAACACUAACUGGAGGACCGAACCGACUAAUGUUGAAAAAUUAGCGGAUGACUUGUGGCUGGGGGUGAAAGGCCAAUCAAACCGGGAGAUAGCUGGUUCUCCCCGAAAGCUAUUUAGGUAGCGCCUCGUGAAUUCAUCUUCGGGGGUAGAGCACUGUUUCGGCUAGGGGGUCAUCCCGACUUACCAACCCGAUGCAAACUACGAAUACCGAAGAAUGUUAUCACGGGAGACACACGGCGGGUGCUAACGUCCGUCGUGAAGAGGGAAACAACCCAGACCGCCAGCUAAGGUCCCAAAGUCAUGGUUAAGUGGGAAACGAUGUGGGAAGGCACAGACAGCCAGGAUGUUGGCUUAGAAGCAGCCAUCAUUUAAAGAAAGCGUAAUAGCUCACUGGUCGAGUCGGCCUGCGCGGAAGAUGUAACGGGGCUAAACCAUGCACCGAAGCUGCGGCAGCGACACUAUGUGUUGUUGGGUAGGGGAGCGUUCUGUAAGCCUGCGAAGGUGACCUGUGAGGGUUGCUGGAGGUAUCAGAAGUGCGAAUGCUGACAUAAGUAACGAUAAAGCGGGUGAAAAGCCCGCUCGCCGGAAGACCAAGGGUUCCUGUCCAACGUUAAUCGGGGCAGGGUGAGUCGACCCCUAAGGCGAGGCCGAAAGGCGUAGUCGAUGGGAAACAGGUUAAUAUUCCUGUACUUGGUGUUACUGCGAAGGGGGGACGGAGAAGGCUAUGUUAGCCGGGCGACGGUUGUCCCGGUUUAAGCAUGUAGGCUGGUUGUCCAGGCAAAUCCGGAUAAUCAAGGCUGAGGUGUGAUGACGAGGCACUACGGUGCUGAAGUAACAAAUGCCCUGCUUCCAGGAAAAGCCUCUAAGCAUCAGGUAACAUCAAAUCGUACCCCAAACCGACACAGGUGGUCAGGUAGAGAAUACCAAGGCGCUUGAGAGAACUCGGGUGAAGGAACUAGGCAAAAUGGUGCCGUAACUUCGGGAGAAGGCACGCUGGUGUGUAGGUGAAAUCCCUGCGGAUGGAGCUGAGACCAGUCGAAGAUACCAGCUGGCUGCAACUGUUUAUUAAAAACACAGCACUGUGCAAACACGAAAGUGGACGUAUACGGUGUGACGCCUGCCCGGUGCCGGAAGGUUAAUUGAUGGGGUUAUCCGUAAGGAGAAGCUCUUGAUCGAAGCCCCGGUAAACGGCGGCCGUAACUAUAACGGUCCUAAGGUAGCGAAAUUCCUUGUCGGGUAAGUUCCGACCUGCACGAAUGGCGUAAUGAUGGCCAGGCUGUCUCCACCCGAGACUCAGUGAAAUUGAACUCGCUGUGAAGAUGCAGUGUACCCGCGGCAAGACGGAAAGACCCCGUGAACCUUUACUAUAGCUUGACACUGAACAUUGAGCCUUGAUGUGUAGGAUAGGUGGGAGGCUUUGAAGCGUGGACGCCAGUCUGCGUGGAGCCAACCUUGAAAUACCACCCUUUAAUGUUUGAUGUUCUAACGUUGGCCCCUUACCGGGGUUGCGGACAGUGUCUGGUGGGUAGUUUGACUGGGGCGGUCUCCUCCCAAAGCGUAACGGAGGAGCACGAAGGUUAGCUAAUCCUGGUCGGACAUCAGGAGGUUAGUGCAAUGGCAUAAGCUAGCUUGACUGCGAGCGUGACGGCGCGAGCAGGUGCGAAAGCAGGUCAUAGUGAUCCGGUGGUUCUGAAUGGAAGGGCCAUCGCUCAACGGAUAAAAGGUACUCCGGGGAUAACAGGCUGAUACCGCCCAAGAGUUCAUAUCGACGGCGGUGUUUGGCACCUCGAUGUCGGCUCAUCACAUCCUGGGGCUGAAGUAGGUCCCAAGGGUAUGGCUGUUCGCCAUUUAAAGUGGUACGCGAGCUGGGUUUAGAACGUCGUGAGACAGUUCGGUCCCUAUCUGCCGUGGGCGCUGGAGAAUUGAGGGGGGCUGCUCCUAGUACGAGAGGACCGGAGUGGACGCAUCACUGGUGUUCGGGUUGUCAUGCCAAUGGCACUGCCCGGUAGCUAAAUGCGGAAGAGAUAAGUGCUGAAAGCAUCUAAGCACGAAACUUGCCCCGAGAUGAGUUCUCCCUGAGACUUUAAGUCUCCUGAAGGAACGUUAAAGACGAUGACGUUGAUAGGCCGGGUGUGUAAGCGCAGCGAUGCGUUGAGCUAACCGGUACUAAUGAACCGUGAGGCUUAACCUU